rnacentral:rRNA from 1 species
GGGUUGUGAGGUUAAGCGACUAAGCGUACACGGUGGAUGCCCUGGCAGUCAGAGGCGAUGAAGGACGUGCUAAUCUGCGAAAAGCGUCGGUAAGGUGAUAUGAACCGUUAUAACCGGCGAUGUCCGAAUGGGGAAACCCAGUGUGAUUCGUCACACUAUCGUUAACUGAAUACAUAGGUUAACGAGGCGAACCGGGGGAACUGAAACAUCUAAGUACCCCGAGGAAAAGAAAUCAACCGAGAUUCCCCCAGUAGCGGCGAGCGAACGGGGAGCAGCCCAGAGUCUGAAUCAGCUUGUGUGUUAGUGGAACGGUCUGGAAAGUCCGACGGUACAGGGUGAUAGUCCCGUACACCAAAAUGCACAGGUUGUGAACUCGAAGAGUAGGGCGGGACACGUGGUAUCCUGUCUGAAUAUGGGGGGACCAUCCUCCAAGGCUAAAUACUCCUGACUGACCGAUAGUGAACCAGUACCGUGAGGGAAAGGCGAAAAGAACCCCGGCGAGGGGAGUGAAAAAGAACCUGAAACCGUGUACGUACAAGCAGUGGGAGCACCUUCGGGUGUGACUGCGUACCUUUUGUAUAAUGGGUCAGCGACUUAUAUUCUGUAGCAAGGUUAACCGUAUAGGGGAGCCGCAGGGAAACCGAGUCUUAACUGGGCGUUAAGUUGCAGGGUAUAGACCCGAAACCCGGUGAUCUAGCCAUGGGCAGGUUGAAGGUUGGGUAACACUAACUGGAGGACCGAACCGACUAAUGUUGAAAAAUUAGCGGAUGACUUGUGGCUGGGGGUGAAAGGCCAAUCAAACCGGGAGAUAGCUGGUUCUCCCCGAAAGCUAUUUAGGUAGCGCCUCGUGAACUCAUCUUCGGGGGUAGAGCACUGUUUCGGCUAGGGGGUCAUCCCGACUUACCAACCCGAUGCAAACUACGAAUACCGAAGAAUGUUAUCACGGGAGACACACGGCGGGUGCUAACGUCCGUCGUGAAGAGGGAAACAACCCAGACCGCCAGCUAAGGUCCCAAAGUCAUGGUUAAGUGGGAAACGAUGUGGGAAGGCACAGACAGCCAGGAUGUUGGCUUAGAAGCAGCCAUCAUUUAAAGAAAGCGUAAUAGCUCACUGGUCGAGUCGGCCUGCGCGGAAGAUGUAACGGGGCUAAACCAUGCACCGAAGCUGCGGCAGCGACACUAUGUGUUGUUGGGUAGGGGAGCGUUCUGUAAGCCUGCGAAGGUGACCUGUGAGGGUUGCUGGAGGUAUCAGAAGUGCGAAUGCUGACAUAAGUAACGAUAAAGCGGGUGAAAAGCCCGCUCGCCGGAAGACCAAGGGUUCCUGUCCAACGUUAAUCGGGGCAGGGUGAGUCGACCCCUAAGGCGAGGCCGAAAGGCGUAGUCGAUGGGAAACAGGUUAAUAUUCCUGUACUUGGUGUUACUGCGAAGGGGGGACGGAGAAGGCUAUGUUAGCCGGGCGACGGUUGUCCCGGUUUAAGCAUGUAGGCUGGUUGUCCAGGCAAAUCCGGAUAAUCAAGGCUGAGGUGUGAUGACGAGGUACUACGGUGCUGAAGUAACAAAUGCCCUGCUUCCAGGAAAAGCCUCUAAGCAUCAGGUAACAUCAAAUCGUACCCCAAACCGACACAGGUGGUCAGGUAGAGAAUACCAAGGCGCUUGAGAGAACUCGGGUGAAGGAACUAGGCAAAAUGGUGCCGUAACUUCGGGAGAAGGCACGCUGGUGUGUAGGUGAAGUCCCUGCGGAUGGAGCUGAGACCAGUCGAAGAUACCAGCUGGCUGCAACUGUUUAUUAAAAACACAGCACUGUGCAAACACGAAAGUGGACGUAUACGGUGUGACGCCUGCCCGGUGCCGGAAGGUUAAUUGAUGGGGUUAUCCGUAAGGAGAAGCUCUUGAUCGAAGCCCCGGUAAACGGCGGCCGUAACUAUAACGGUCCUAAGGUAGCGAAAUUCCUUGUCGGGUAAGUUCCGACCUGCACGAAUGGCGUAAUGAUGGCCAGGCUGUCUCCACCCGAGACUCAGUGAAAUUGAACUCGCUGUGAAGAUGCAGUGUACCCGCGGCAAGACGGAAAGACCCCGUGAACCUUUACUAUAGCUUGACACUGAACAUUGAGCCUUGAUGUGUAGGAUAGGUGGGAGGCUUUGAAGCGUGGACGCCAGUCUGCGUGGAGCCAACCUUGAAAUACCACCCUUUAAUGUUUGAUGUUCUAACGUUGGCCCCUUAUCGGGGUUGCGGACAGUGUCUGGUGGGUAGUUUGACUGGGGCGGUCUCCUCCCAAAGCGUAACGGAGGAGCACGAAGGUUAGCUAAUCCUGGUCGGACAUCAGGAGGUUAGUGCAAUGGCAUAAGCUAGCUUGACUGCGAGCGUGACGGCGCGAGCAGGUGCGAAAGCAGGUCAUAGUGAUCCGGUGGUUCUGAAUGGAAGGGCCAUCGCUCAACGGAUAAAAGGUACUCCGGGGAUAACAGGCUGAUACCGCCCAAGAGUUCAUAUCGACGGCGGUGUUUGGCACCUCGAUGUCGGCUCAUCACAUCCUGGGGCUGAAGUAGGUCCCAAGGGUAUGGCUGUUCGCCAUUUAAAGUGGUACGCGAGCUGGGUUUAGAACGUCGUGAGACAGUUCGGUCCCUAUCUGCCGUGGGCGCUGGAGAAUUGAGGGGGGCUGCUCCUAGUACGAGAGGACCGGAGUGGACGCAUCACUGGUGUUCGGGUUGUCAUGCCAAUGGCACUGCCCGGUAGCUAAAUGCGGAAGAGAUAAGUGCUGAAAGCAUCUAAGCACGAAACUUGCCCCGAGAUGAGUUCUCCCUGAGACUUUAAGUCUCCUGAAGGAACGUUAAAGACGAUGACGUUGAUAGGCCGGGUGUGUAAGCGCAGCGAUGCGUUGAGCUAACCGGUACUAAUGAACCGUGAGGCUUAACCUUACAACGCCGAAG